AGUCAAUUUCUUUUUUCUUGGUAUUUUUGACUUGCAUUGAACUCCACUAUUAAUUCAUAAAUGUAUGUGUACUUGAAUAUGAGAAUAUAACGUAAUGUAAACUAUCAUUAUUUUUUUUUUUUAAUUAUUAAAUUUUUUAUUCAAAAUGGCUUAUACAGUUUCAAAAAAUGAAUACCAGUAAAUGUGCCUCAUGAUGUAUGUAAUUAAUGAUGGUCAUUUUUAUUCCUCAAAAUGCUGAAUCCUUAUACAACAUUUCAGAAUAUUGAUGUUGAAUGAGAAGUCUGUAGAAAAACCUUUUAUAAUUUGGACUGUUGAAUAAUGGGAUGGGUCUUGCAAUUCAUUUAUAUCCUCUGGAAAUACUUGCUAAUGGAAUUCUCCAUACAACUCUAAACCUUAGAGCAAGGAAUUUCCUAGACAUGGUGGAAGCUUAUCGCGAGUUCUGUUUUUAUGUCAUUUGAAACGUGAAAUAAAAAAUAUAAAUGUUACAUGGUAUGUAACUGGUGUAAUGGCAUACAUUUCCAAUGAUUUUACACGGGCAUUUUUUUGUGAUGAUUUUAUUUUUAGUGGUGCAACCUGUUGAGGCAUGUAAAUGGUUGAAUAUAGUGUUUUUUUCAACUUGAUUGAAAAAUCUUCCACCAGAUUUUUUUUUUUCAAAUGCUAAUGUUGUUUAAAAUCCUUACAAUGUUUUAAGAUUUAGGAUAAGCAAGUACAACCAAUGCAACUGCCCUAAAAGUUUCCUAAAACAAGGAAUUCAUAUAUAGUUAUUUCAGUUAUUAAAUUGGUUUUGUUUUAAUUUUUUUCUCUGGAUUAAAAACAACUUUGAUUAUAUCAUGGUGUCAGUCCUGUCUCUUUGAAAGAGACUGUUGUUUUACCAUUGAAUUACAAUAAAUUAAACAUAAAUUAACUCA
rnacentral:misc_RNA from 1 species